rnacentral:rRNA from 1 species
AGAGAUGUGUGAUGACGCAUAUCAAUAAGCGGAGGAAAAGAAACUAACAAGGAUUCCCCUAGUAACGGCGAGUGAAGCGGGAAGAGCUCAAAUUUGAAAUCUUCAAGGUUUUACCUUGACGAAUUGUAGUUUAAAGAAGUGUUUUCUGUUGAAGUUUUGGUAAAAGUUCUUUGGAAUAGGACAUCAUAGAGGGUGAGAAUCCCGUAUUUGACCAUUUCUUCCAGCUGUGUGAUACACUUUCAAAGAGUCGGAUUGUUUGGGAAUGCAGUCCAAAAUGGGUGGUAAAUUUCAUCUAAAGCUAAAUAUUGGCGAGAGACCGAUAGCGAACAAGUACCGUGAGGGAAAGAUGAAAAGAACUUUGAAAAGAGAGUUAAACAGUACGUGAAAUUGCCAAAAGGGAAGCGUUUGACACCAGUGUUGUUUUUCCGAAAAUCAAUUACGAAUGUUUUGUUCUUAAGAAGUUAUGACUUCAUCGGCUUGCUUCUUUCUUUACGAAACUUUCUUAAUGCACUUUUCGGUUAACAAGUCAACAUCAAUUUCUUUUGUUGUAAAAGGGUAUGAGGAAGGUGGCUUUCUUUUCGGAGAAAGUGUUUAUAGCCUUGUGCCUCUGCAAUCGGAGAGAUUGAGGUCUGCAGCGUAGAUCCUUCGGGGUUAGAUACAUUUGUGCUAAGCUAUAGCUUUUCAUAGACAACUUGUUGACUAUGUUAAGUCUUGUAGCUUACUCGCUUAUGCUAUUUUACCUACGCUUAGGAUGUUGACGCAUGAGAUAUACGC